ACAACAUUUCGACAGACAAUCAAGACCAAACAAAAAAUCUUCUUUCUUCGUUCCACCCAGAGAAUACAAUCCGCUGCUCAUCACCCGAACUACCGUCGUCGGGGCACCGUGAAGCAAUUUCCACAAAUCACUGAAGCGACCAGACCGGAAGUUCGAGCAUAUAGCCUUGGGAACACACGAACGCGAACUGGUAAUCACUGAGAGGAACGGCAGAAAAAAAACAACAACAACAACAACAACGAAAGGCAGAUGUCAAAAACACUGUCGCCUUAGUUGCGCGAGUUAGCGAGCGGCGGACCCCGCAUAACAAGUCACUACCGACCCAUCUUCAGUGCGCUUUGUUUCCCAUGGUGACUGAUUUCCUUCGCAGCGUGAUUCCAAAAUUACACACAGGUCAUAAAACCCGUGGCGUUGUGUGUGACAAAUUCGGAGAAACGUGAAAACCGAAAAAGAUGGUACGUCAUUUUCAGCCGACACCGAUUCAAAUCACAUAAAUAAAAACUGUAACGCCAAUACACCGAGAGACAGAAGGAAAUUGCCAUCCCAAAAAAAACGAAGACCCGUGAGACGAUCGAAGUAAGCAAAAAAAAGACAACAAUAGCAAUCAACUUGCCCAGAAAACGUCACGCGCCGGUGGUUCCUUGUUUUCCUUGGUAGUUUCGUACCGGAAAUAUUGACCGCUAAGCGGAAACCAUGCAUGCAUCGUCAGAGUGCUGUCAGUCGGUAGACUUUGAGACGAUUCGGCUCAGCUCAGCACAAAUGUCGCACUAUUACACAAAAAGAUUGAGUAAUCGACGACGACGACGACGACGACGACGACGACUGCGACGCCAUCGCAGCAAGCGGAGGAAAUUUGGCCAUUCGUCAACAAAGUCACCGAUGACAGUGGUGACGAUUGCCGACCGGACCCGGUCAAGCAACCAAGGAUGUGCGAGGAGGGUGUGCGUUUUUGUCGUCAUAGAAAGUCUCACGCCUGCUGCCUUUUUGGCAGUGCACCCACAUCGACCUGUGGUGCGCCAUGCUGGCUACGCUGCCCAAACGUUUGUGACGGUCAAACGUCGAACAAGAAAACCACUGCACCACCGCCGUCGUUGUCACGGUUGGCCACAGACAACUAGCGAUAAAACUUUUCAAAUUGUGUACCUUGACGGACCGUGACAGUAACGAUACUCGCUACUCGGGGGAAGAUCGAGAAUUGCUCAGGCGUUUGCGGAAUGCGUUCUUCCUUUACGGAAUUGUUUUCUGUGGACAACCGCAAGCUUGCUUCCUCGAAAACGGGUAAUCGAUUGUCGAAACAGGGAUUGAUGGACUGACUUUGGACCAGAGCAGAUCUAUUACUAUUUGACGACAAAUUUACGAUGCACUAUAUUAAAGUAACAGUGUACAUGAAAACGGAAAAUAUUUCAAACUUCUUCAGAAAGUACUUGAUUUGUUUGGCAGGCGUUUUACAGUUUACAGCUGUCAUCUGAAAAAUGGAAUUUCCACUGUUGGAGCCACUAUCAAUCACGAUAUUUAUGUAAAAGAAUUUUUACAAAAACGUCUUUUGUCUUGUUUUGAGUAACACAUCUGUUCCGUAUUGUUUUUGUAAGACCUUGCUGCCUAUCAUUGCUUUUGGUAUUUCGCCAGUAACGUCCGAGUCGUACCAGAAAACAUAAGCACGUAAGCUCGGCAAUCGAUAAGCUUCAAGAAAAUUCAAGAAAUACGCCCUUAUUCUGAAUAACGACGUAUUGAUUUUUCGAUCGAAUGUGGUUCGAUCGAAUCAUAGCUACCUUUGAUUUUGCUAGCGUUAUUGGGAAUACAAAUGAAAUACGAGGGAAAAAACGAUACGACGUUAUUCAGAA